CGGCCAUUGAUCCCGCUGGUCACGCCCUAUCCGAGUGUCGAGACGGUAGUGUGUGCGCCGUUUGUGGUGCUGCCGGAUGUCGCCGAGGCGCUGAAAGACGUCCCUAUCGGCGUCGGCGCGCAGAAUUGCCACUGGGCAGACAGCGGCGCCUACACCGGCGAGGUUUCACCGGUGAUGCUGAAGGGGCUGGCCGGGUACGUCAUCAUCGGCCACUCCGAACGCCGCCAAUACUUCGCGGAAACCGACGAGGGCGUCAACAAGAAGAUCAAGGCCGCGCUGGCCCACGGUCUUGUGCCCAUCGUCUGCGUGGGUGAGGACCUGGCCCAGAAUGAGGCCGGCAUCACCGAACCGUGGGUCAGCGGGCAGGUGCGAGCCGCGUUCGCCGGUUUGAGCGCCGAGCGGGCGGCCGGGGUCGUCAUCGCUUACGAGCCGAUCUGGGCCAUCGGCACGGGAAGGACCGCCACCUCUGAGGUCGCCAAUCGCGUCUGCGGGCAGGUGGU
rnacentral:rRNA from 1 species